UACAGAGGGUGCAAGCGUUAAUCGGAAUUACUGGGCGUAAAGCGUGCGUAGACGGUUAUGUAAGUCAGAUGUGAAAGCCCCGGGCUUAACCUGGGAAUGGCAUUUGAGACUGCAUAGCUAGGUGCGGAAGAGGGAAGCGGAAGUUUCCGGUGUAGCGGUGAAAUGACGUAGAUAUCGGAAGGAACACCAGUGGCGAAAGCGGCUUCCUGGUCCAGCACCGACGUCAGGCACGAAAGCGUGGGGAGCAAAC
rnacentral:rRNA from 1 species